rnacentral:rRNA from 1 species
GACGAACGCUGGCGGCGUGCUUAACACAUGCAAGUCGAACGGAAAGGCCCUGCUUUUGUGGGGUGCUCGAGUGGCGAACGGGUGAGUAACACGUGAGUAACCUGCCCUUGACUUUGGGAUAACUUCAGGAAACUGGGGCUAAUACCGGAUAGGAGCUCCUGCUGCAUGGUGGGGGUUGGAAAGUUUCGGCGGUUGGGGAUGGACUCGCGGCUUAUCAGCUUGUUGGUGGGGUAGUGGCUUACCAAGGCUGUGACGGGUAGCCGGCCUGAGAGGGUGACCGGGCACCUUGCGCCUGAGGUACGGACCAGACUCCUACGGGAGGCAGCAGUGGGGAAUCUUGCACAAUGGGCGGAAGCGUGAUGAAGCAACGCCGCGUGCGGGAUGACGGCCUUCGGGUUGUAAACCGCUUUCGCCUGUGACGAAGCGUGAGUGACGGUAAUGGGUAAAGAAGCACCGGCUAACUACGUG